ACUCAAAUGAAUUGACGGGGGCCCGCACAAGCGGUGGUGCAUGUGGUUUAAUUCGACGCAACGCGCAAAACCUUACCUGGGUUUGAACUGCAGUAGAUCGGCGCAGAAAUGUGCUUUCCCUUCGGGGCUGCUGUGGAGGUGCUGCAUGGCUGUCGUCAGCUCGUGUCGUGAGAUGUUGGGUUAAGUCCCGCAACGAGCGCAACCCUUGCCGAUAGUUGCCAUCAGGUUAUGCUGGGAACUCUAUCGGGACUGCCGGUGUUAAACCGGAGGAAGGUGGGGAUGACGUCAAGUCCUCAUGGCCCUUAUGUCCAGGGCUACACACGUGCAACAAUGGUUGGUACAAUGGGUCGCGAAGUCGCGAGGCGGAGCUAAUCUCAAAAAACCAAUCUCAGUUCGGAUUGUAGUCUGCAACUCGACUACAUGAAGUAGGAAUCGCUAGUAAUCGCGGAUCAGCACGCCGCGGUGAAUACGUUCCCGGGCCUUGCACACACCGCCCGU
rnacentral:rRNA from 1 species